rnacentral:misc_RNA from 1 species
GUAUUAAUUGCGUUUGACCGCAAAAGAAAAGAAAACAUUCUACACUGUAUCAAGUUUUAUGUGAAAACGCAAGCCCUCCUGCAAAGGGGGGCCCACGCGGUGAUGCACAAAGGGGUGAGAUGGAUGUGUGAGAGAGCUUGGGCGUGCACGACCCUUGAAGGGUCAGCGACAGCCCUUGCACCUCAGUUGUACGAUAAUGAUCCUUCCGCAGGUUCACCUACGGAAA